UUUUUUUGGCUUAUUUACGUGGUUUGCGGCCUUUGUGGUUUUUUUACGCCUUGGCCCGGGUACGGAAUAAAGAUUUCCUUUCUUACGAGAAGGGAGAGGCCGCUGACUUCAGAAACAGUGGGAGUCCCAGUUCGUCCUAUGUAAUAGGUGGCUGUGGCGCAGGAGUGGAGCGAACCUCCGGACCGGAGCGCUCCUGGAGAGCGUCUGCACGCUGUGCUGCGGACGCAGGGCGGCCCGUGGUCUCCAGGUGUGCCGUACUGCCUCCUCCGUUGAGCUCAGGGUCCUGCAGUACCGUACUGUGCGCUGUGGUGUGGCCAGGACGGGGAAGCACGGGCUGGUGUAAUCUAACCCUUGGAGACUUCUAGAGGAUUGGUGUCUUGUCCAAAAUUACUCGCCUUGAUCGCAGAGAGAGAUCACAAGUAGGCAGAGAAGCAGGCAGAGAGAGAGAGGAAGAAGCAAGCUCCCUGCUGAGCUGAGAUUCCCAAUGCGGGCUCCAUCAUAGGACCCUGGGAUUGUGAGCUCUAGGUAUCAGUCUCCUGGCCUGAAAUUAGGAUCUUUCAGUGGGUGUUUAGCCAUUAAUGAACACCUGUUUGGCAAUCUUGAGUAUAUUCUCCAUUAAAUGUGGUAGAGACACAGAGAGAGCACAAGCAGGUAGAGGCAGAGGGAGAAGCAGACUCCCUGGUGAGCAUGGAGUUCAAUGUGGGGCUCAAUCCCAGGACCCUGAGACCACGACCUGAGCCGAAGGCAGAUGUUUAACCGGCUGAGCCACCCAGAUUCCUGUCUUCAGAUAUUAUCCAGAGCAGAAAGAGCUGAUGUUCAGAGGAGCUCCAGCCAUACCCUAAGGUGAUGAUCUCCCUACCAGAAGUCUGAGUAGGUCUGCUCUGCCUACACUUUCUGGCAAUGGUGCAUCACUUCUAGAAACCAGCUACAGCCCACUCACAACUUCCAGCAAUGGCGCGCCCUUCUCUACAGACCAGUGCCUAUACUCCAGUGGCAACUUCUUCAGCGACCAGCAGGCUGUGUUAUCACUAUGGUAGCCACUUCAUCUCUGAAGAUAUCAGACUUUCAGCCUGGGAUAGGGGACAGCCAGCUCCUUGUAAUUAAUUCCUUUACUAUCUGUGUUUUCACAGCCUCCAGAUACUAGCUGCUUUUUUACACCUGACACUUUUGGAUUCCCUUUACUCAUUUUGGUAGAUGACCACCCUCUACUUAUUGUCUAGCAACAAUACUGUCUAACAAAAGAAUUGUCUAACGAAAGAAUUAUCUAACAAAAGAAUUCUAACAGUUUGUUAUUAUUCAGCUUUUCCUGUUCAAAUAAACUGGUGGUUUUGGUUUGGU